AGAGUGAACGCUGGCGGCAGGCCUAACACAUGCAAGUCGAACGGCAGCACAGCAGUAGCAAUACUGUGGGUGGCGAGUGGCGGACGGGUGAGGAAUACAUCGGAAUCUACCUUGUCGUGGGGGAUAACGUAGGGAAACUUACGCUAGUACCGCAUACGAACUAUGGUUGAAAGCGGCGGACCGCAAGGCGUCGCGCGAUUGGAUGAGCCGAUGUCCGAUUAGCUAGUUGGCGGGGUAACGGCCCACCAAGGCGACGAUCGGUAGCUGGUC
rnacentral:rRNA from 1 species